CCUUUGAACUCUGAAGCCGCGCCAGGUCAGUUUCAGCCUCUUGGGGACCGGAUUUCGUGGUGACAGUCGCCCAAGGAGAUGAUGCCACGUGGUGAGCCGAAGUACACCGGCAGGAUUCCACGCCGAGACCGGACUCCGUCUGCGCUCUGGUUUUUCACCUUGCCCGCGUGGCUGAUGAGUAUGCGCGUUAAUGAAACUUGCGUUGACUGCUGGGGCUUUUCUUAUUCUUGGUUUCCGACUAGUAAACUGUCUUAAUGACUGUCUUGCUUUGAAGGACUAGGGGCUCGGGGAAGGCGGUUUUCAAAAAGAAACAUUAGCAACUGAGAAACAAAUUUCUGCCCAAGUAGGCAAAAUAAAUGAUAAGCAACAAAAUGCUGAGGGGGUGGUUAAGUAAUCUACAGAAAUGGAAACAAAAGAAGGAACAAAGCGAAGGAACACAGCAGCCAACCAAUUCGGCCUUCACACAGAAAGACAGGUCCCCACCAUUGACUCUCUCAGCUUAACCAACGAGUUCUUUAUACUUUGAAACCCCGCACAAUGUACCAGGGACACUAAACAGUGUCUGAACAGUAUCACUAGAAGACCAGGACUGAACUGUAUUUCUUCAUUUGUAGGUUUUUUUGUUUGUUUGUUGUUUGGUUUGGUUUGGUUUUUUGUUUUCUUUUAUUUUGGUUGCUUAUGGAUUAUUCCAAAGCACCAUGCUUACAAGGAAGAGACAAACUGGUCUUUGAACAGUGAGAUAGUCCUCCACCAUCUUCAAAUCAGUCGGGUCAACACACAGAAAGCCCCAAGUGAGCAGAAGGAAGCUCUCAACAGAGAGCUCAGCUUGGACCUCAGCAAAGAUGUUUUCCCUUGGUAAACUCAGGAGGGUUCAGGACAGACACCUUUCUCUGAACACCAGCAAGAGUCUCUUCGCUAUUUGGCAGACCCCUAGAAAAGGAGGUGAUUUGUUUUCAGCCUUCUGGCUGACACUACUAAGUACCUAAGUCAAGAUUUUAUACUAGGUGUCUCUAUCCCACCUUAAUCCCUGAGGCAGGAGGAUCGUCAGGAGUUUGAAGCCAACUAGACUAAAUAGUGAGACCCUGUCUCUGAACAAACAAGCAAAUGGGAAGAGGCUAUUGAAGACUGUUGCCGACCUGGUCUGAUAUGGGCUUGAGAGCUGAGACUUUGGCUGAAUGCAUCGAAAGACUUGAGAAUCACCGCUUCAGGAGAUGACAAACAUGUUUGUGUGCACAGCAUUUUGAUGGAUUCUACUACAUCCUGGUUCACAGUGGCAUCUGCAGGAACAGGGCUAUGCUUAGAGACCCCGGUGGAAGCUGGGAAAUGGUGGCUGAGCUGUGAACUUGUGCCACAAACUGGAAGAGCAGUCACUCAGUCUUUCCCUUGGUCCAGACUCAUCAAAAUCAUUCCAUUUAGGAGGGAGUCCAUUUGAGGACGUCUUUGUCACAGUUGCUUCCCAAGGAAAUGAGCUAUUUGUUGGACCUCAUUUGUUCCAGGAAAUUCUUUUGGACUGACUCUGAAACGCUUCCAUUUCUUAAGUGGAUUGACCUGCUUAUGUAACUAACUGGUGUAUCCUUUAGGAGACCGGACUAUUUCUCUCAAGAGCUCAUUCUUUAUAGCCGUGCCCUGCCCCACCCAGGUCUUCACUACACAGCGUACUGCCCAGUGCCUCAUUCCACAGCAUACUGCCCAGGGAGAACACGGGAUGGGCAGUGAGUAGAGUGGAAGCGAGGGAGCUGCAUGUCUGUGUCUGUCCUGGGCCCACGGCCCGGGAUCACAGCUAAAUAGCUCUCACUCUGAAUCCUGCAACCAGUUUGCUUUCCAACCCCUUGCCCGGAAGCCAAUGCGCAGGCAAGCACAAAUUAGCUAUAGCAUCUCUCUCCACUGCAGACGGCGGGGUUUCCGCAGAGGCAGUGUGAACACGUCUAAUGUUAGUGCUGGGCUUUGCUGGCAUUCACAGGACAGCAGUCCAGUCAGGGCCCUUGCUCCUGCUCCUUAUACAGCAGAGAGCCCAGGCAGUUUCCACUCAGAACACCAGCGGCUGUUGAAGGGCGAGAACUUAGUUUUGAAUGAAGGGUCAUU